rnacentral:rRNA from 1 species
UACGUAGGGGGCGAGCGUUGUCCGGAUUUAUUGGGCGUAAAGAGCGCGUAGGUGGUUUGUAAAGUCGGAUGUGAAAGUCCAGGGCUUAACCCUGGGAUGCCAUUCGAUACUUGCAGACUAGAGCAUGGUAGGGGGAUCUGGAAUUCCUGGUGUAGCGGUGAAAUGCGCAGAUAUCAGGAAGAACACCCGUGGCGAAGGCGGCUCUCUGGGACGGUACUGACGCUGAGACGCGAAAGCGUGGGGAGCGAACAGG